UACGGAGGGGACUAGCGUUGUUCGGAAUUACUGGGCGUAAAGCGCACGCAGGCGGUUUGGCAAGUCGGACGUGAAAAUCCGGGGCUCAACCCCGGACCUGCAUCCGAAACUGCCCGACUAGAGGUAGGUAGGGGAGAUCGGAAUUCCUGGUGUAGCGGUGAAAUGCGCAGAUAUCAGGAGGAACACCGGUGGCGAAGGCGGAUCUCUGGGCCUUACCUGACGCUCAGGUGCGAAAGCUAGGGGAGCGAACAGG
rnacentral:rRNA from 1 species